GUGCUCACUUUGGCAGCAUGUAUACUAAAAUUGGAACGAUAUAGAGAAGAUUAGCAUGGCCCUUGCACAAGGAUGACAUGCAAAUUUGUGAAGCUUUCCAUAUUAAA